rnacentral:lncRNA from 10 species
CUUCUUUUGCAGAAAUCAGGAUCUGGCCACGCUGGGUCUUUCGCUGAUCACAGCGGCCCCUGUCCAGCAUUCCUGGCCCCAGUAAGCUUCUGGCGUUUCCAAAGGUGGCAGGAGACUGGGCAGCCGACAUAGCAGGAGGGAACAUCGCGCUCUGCCCUCCCCAUCCCAAGCCCUCUGGCCUGGCCCUGCCCACAGGGUAAAGAGGGAAGUUCCAGGCUGGUGCUGCUGCUGCUGUGGCUGCCAUCCCUUGUCCCUAAGUCUGGGCCCCAGGCCCUGGGUACAGCUCCCUUCCUCACCCUGCCAGGGCCCAUGACCUCCUUCCGUCCUUUCAGGAUUUUGCAGGAAGUGGAAGAGGCGUGUAGAAGGUGCCAGAGGACAGACAGGAAGCCAAACCUAGAUGUCUUCCCCUGCCUUCAUUGGGAGGGUGCUGAGCCACGGGUUCCACCUCUGCCAAAGGCACACCUAGGAGACUCCUCAUGUCCAGCUGAGAAGAGGGGGACACCUCCUGUCUGAGACUGCAGCUCACACUGCUGCAUGCUUCCUGGACACCAUCUCUCUGACCUUGGUCGCAUCUGCCUAGCCUGCAGCUACGUUCUCUGACCUCCAGCUCUUCCUCUUUCUCCCCUCGGGAACCCAGCGAAGAUGUAAGUCAAGAGAAUUCUCACCCCCAUCCCUCAUCACUCUCACUCUUCCGAGACAAGUGUCACGAUGUGGUGGCUGACAGAGCUUCCCUUUUUGAAGGGCACGGUCUCAGUUCUGCUGGCUCUCAGGCCGGAAGAAGCCGAGGGCGCUGAGUGGGCAGAAGGGGCCCCAGGAAGCCCCUCAGAGGAUGGGAAGUGGCGGGGGACAGGGCCACAGGGCUUGCUGUGACCCGGUAUGACCUCCUUUUCCUCUUGUCCUGACCAGGACAACCGUGUUCAGAGGUGGGUUCAUCUGGCGUACCGGGCUUGCGGCAGAUCCUGCUGUUUCUCCACCCACCCGCCUUUCCCUCUCCUUGUUUCCGAAGGAGAGCCUGCCUCUCGCCCCGAGGUUGAACAUUCCAGCUCCUUGCUCUCCCCGGCAGGAAGCCCCAAUUCUGCCCUGCAGUGGUUGCCUGGACACCCUCGUAACCCAGCUGAGCCUGCACCCCCGGGGCCUGGGCCACUCUGCUGCUCUGUCUUGCACCCUUGACUUCCUUUGAGGGUUGACUCUGGACCCUUAAGCCUCCUCCUUCCUUGCCUGGAGUUUACCCACCUAGGCCGGCCGCCUGGCAAGGACUGGCUGGUGCGGGGCCUGAAAGCCUGGCCCUCGCCUCAAGGUGGGACUGUCUGGGCUGUCACUGAUGCCCCAGAGCUCCCGAGGGAUCCUUUGCCUGGCUUCUUCCCGUCGUCCCCGUCCUGUUUCCCCACUCUCUUCCCGCCUGUCCCAGACUGCUACCUUCCUAAUAAAUGGCUUGUACAGAAAUCCUUGCCUCAGGCUCUGCCUAUGAGGAGCCUGACCACACGCAUUCUCUGUGUGGAGAGACCCCCCAGGACCUCUUUUUGUUCCAUGGGACCUAACAGGAG